rnacentral:rRNA from 1 species
UAAAGUGUGAACCAGUGACCUGGAUUCGAAUUAAUUAUUAAUGUUCGAGGAGUAUUUUAACAUAAUGAGUCAAAUUAUACCUUCAAGUCCUGUCCAAAAACCGUGCCAGCAGUCGCGGUAAUACGGUAAGGGCCACCCAUCGGAAUCUUAAGUAGGCGUAUAGUGUGCGUAGCUUGUUUAUUAUUACUUGAGUUUUAUAGAGGCAAAACCCACACACGGAUGAGGGUUGAAAUCCAUUGACACCGUGGUGAGGACCAAUGGCGAAAGCACUUUGCCAAAUAAUUACUGACAGUGAGGCACGAAAGCCAGGAUAGGGAAGCCGAUUAGAGACCGGCGUACUCCUGGCCGUAAACUAUGCAGAUCCAACUUUUGUCAAUUUCUCCCGUUCUAGUCCUCUUUUUUUACCUUAGAGGAUAACCGGGGGAAUUAUAUUAUAAUAGUUGCCGUUAACGCUUUGAAUCUGCCGCCAGCAUGGUACAGUCGCAAGGCCGACACGCAAACGACGAGACCGUCUGUGGUAUUAAUCGGGUGCGGGGCAUGCUGUUUAAUCCGUCAAUACGCGUAAAAUCUUACCAUGUCUUGAAUAUUAAUUAAUUGACUAAUCUUUGUUAAAUUAUUACAGGUGUUGCAUGGCUGUCGUCAGCUAGUGCCAGUAAGGCGUAAGGUUUGGUCCAUUUAACUAGCGCAAACCUCACUAUAUUUUUUAUAGACCUGAUUUUAUGCAGAUUUGGUAUUCGAGGAGUAUGACAAGCCGGCAUGGCCCUUAUGACAUGGGCUA